rnacentral:rRNA from 1 species
CGCAAGCCUGACGGAGCCAGACCGCGUGAGGGAGGAAGGCUCUUGGGUUGUAAACCUCUUUUCUCAGGGAAGAAGCUCUGACGGUACCUGAGGAAUCAGCCUCGGCUAACUCCGUGCCAGCAGCCGCGGUAAUACGGAGGAGGCAAGCGUUAUCCGGAAUUAUUGGGCGUAAAGCGUCCGCAGGUGGCGAUUCAAGUCUGCUGUCAAAGCACGGGGCUUAACUCCGUUAAGGCAGUGGAAACUGAAUGGCUAGAGUGCCGUAGGGGCAGAGGGAAUUCCCAGUGUAGCGGUGAAAUGCGUAGAGAUUGGGAAGAACACCGGUGGCGAAAGCGCUCUACUGGACCACACCUGACACUCAGAGGACGAAAGCUAGGGUAGCG